GAUGAAGAACGCAGCGAAAUGCGAUAAGUAAUGCGAAUUGCAGAAUUCCGUGAGUCAUCGAAUCUUUGAACGCACAUUGCGCCCCUUGGUAUUCCAUGGGGCAUGCCUGUUCGAGCGUCAUUUGUACCUUCAAGCUUUGCUUGGUGUUGGGUGUUUGUCUCGCCUUUGCGUGUAGACUCGCCUUAAAAUAAUUGGCAGCCGGCGUAUUGAUUUCGGAGCGCAGUACAUCUCGCGCUUUGCACUCAUAACGACAGCGUCCAAAAGUACAUUUUACACUCUUGACCUCGGAUCAGGUAGGGAUACCCGCUGAACUUAAGCAUAUCAAUAAGCGGAGGA
rnacentral:misc_RNA from 1 species